AGUGUCUGAGAAAAAACAGGUCAGGAAUUUCCUUCAAGGUCAGGAUAUAAAACUUCUGAAAAUUCACACAGUGCAUCAUACAGCAGAUGUUAUACAAGGCAUUUCACCCAACUGUUCCACAGACUUUACAAUUAGUUUACCAGGUUUUUUUUGUAAAUGUGUUUGCUUUUAAAAGUGAUUGAGUAUUUGGGUUUGAUGGCUUUAAGUUUGAUGACUUUAUUACCUUUCCCUUGCCUGAGGCGAGAACAACCUUUUAGGGGGGCAGAGUGUAAGUAAACUUCCUAGUUUCUGUUUGGACUACAUGUGAGAAGAUUUAAACUGUAAUAUUUCUGUAUACUAUGGUCUUUAUGGUCUUUGCUCUCUUCUAUUCAUUAAGAGAUGGCAUUAGAUAAAUGGAUAUAAAUGUGCUAAUUGUUUUUGUACUGUCCUUAUUUUAAGUGAAAUUAUUUGUGUUUAAAAUUAUCUGUCAUCUUUCUCAGUUUUGUUUUAAAAUAUUUAUCCAAGAUUCAAGGUUUUAAGAAUUGUUGAUGUUGAGUUUAUAAUCUUUGUUAUUUUUAGUUUUUGUAAGUAAUGCUGAUAGAUAGUGAUUGUUGUUAAUACUAGAUGAAUACUCUGGGAAGGUUGUCUUAACCCCUUCAAGCACUUCUUGUUAGGGAGUUUUCAGAUUUUUGUGAUGAAAAUUGUUGUUGGUAUAUUGUAACAUUUGCAGCCGACUUUCAUGUGCUUUCCUUUCAUGUGUUUUUCUAUUUUUUUUGUGUGAUCACCUGCAAGACACGUGUCUCUUCAGAACCCUGUCUUUUUAUUUCCUAACUAUUUAGAUGUUUCUGAGAGUUUUUAUCCAAAUUGCCAGUUUUGUGGUUCUUUUAAUUAUUAUUACAGGAAUACUCCAGCAGAGAAUUCAAGAAGUUUGCUGUACUUGGAAAAUCUCUGUCUUGACAGAAGCUUCAGAAGGAUUCAAUUAUUUGCUAGUUUAAUUAGUUUGUAACCAUAAGGUUUCUUGUUUAUAACAGUUGUUUUUAAAAGUCCUGUUUAAAAGGUAUGUUAAGUGAUACUCACCAAUUAGAGUUCGAACUCUAGCCAAGUUCUAACUCUAUUUGGAUGGAGUGACUGACAAUCAACCCAGAUGUUUUCUGCAUCAAAAAGUAUUCAAGUCCUUUUGACUUGGCGAUUUGACCAUCUAUGACAGCUGAGCCAUUUUCAGAGGUGAUUUGGAGAAACAUGAAUCCGGACAUGAUUUCUCCAAUUCUCUGUCAUUUUAAGGUUUAUCAGCUGUCGCAGACUCUGGGAUAAGAGUUCAGUGUUAUAGUGUUUAGUAAUUUUCUGAUCUUAUAUGUGUUGUUAAUUGUGUGUAUUAUCUAAAUUAAUUCCUAAUUACUCUUAUCUUAACAUUUCUUUAUGUAACAUUGCAAGAUGAAGCCAGGACCCAUUUUUCACCUCCAGGAUUUUGAGAAGAUUCUUCAGUCCUGCAGGGAUGUGGGAUUUGUUUGUGUUUUAACAGGUGCCCUGUCUCAGCUUGAAAAGAAAACGGGGGAGCUCAGGGUAUUGGAGUGGCUCUCUCCACCACUACAGCAACAGAGAACUGUGAGACUGAAAAUUGAAAUGAUUGCAUCCCUCAUAAAGAAAGGACGUCUUAGAGCAAUCCAAGUUACAGGAGCAGAGCCUUCCACAAUACGAUUGCCCAUCAAAAAGGACACGCUUGACUGGUAUUUGGUGAACUCUGGGGAGCUCCAGGAAGCCCUUUUAGGAGCUGGAGCUGUCGUGGAGACUGGGAAACUGCAUCCUAGUCCCCUCCAGUGGAUGACAGAAUGGGACUGGAUAACAAAGCCCAUUCGGAGUCUGUCACCAUUAAGGGGGGCUAUCACGGCCUUUACGGACGCUGGUAAAAAGUCCAGGAGAGCAGCCGUGACAUGGAAACAACAAGGACAGUGGCGACAACAUUUGUUAGAUGCAGAUGCCAGGGACAGUCUACAGACAUUGGAACUUUUAGCUGUAGUAUAGGCAAUGAUGAAUUUAAAAGGUCCUUUGAAUAUUGUGACUGACUCCCUUUAUGUAGCAGGAGUAGCUGCCAGGGUACUAUACUGGGGGAGGGGAUAUCUUUGUGUUUCCUCUCCAACAGGACCCUUGUGGAUCCCCGCGAAGUGGACUCGAGCUGUACCAGAUGUUGAGGACCGUCGUGGCCUUGUCACCGGAGGACAAAGAGAGGGUGCACAACAAAUUGACGCUGAUAUUUGCAACGCCUGCAGCCCUACUCUAACGACGCGCGACGUGCCUGCGUUCAUCUUCCUGACGAUUGGAUCGAGUGGUGUCAGGACCUUACGGUAGAAGUAAAAGCUCCUCAAUCACAGCCAUGCCUGGACUGUGGGGACAAUAAAUGCGCUGCAUGGAUCGCGCUAGACUGUGGAGGCUGUAAUAAGGUGUUUUAGUUGGAGCAAUCGACCGUUCGGCAAAACUGGUGCCCAAGCUGCCGAUUCUCCUGGAACUUGCAGAACUCGUGGCAGCGAGCACUAAGGGAUUUUACAGGGCUUGAUUUGGGAGGAUCGUUAGGCUUAUAUGAAGCCCCGGAGCAAAUUAUUUUGGCAUAUGUUACUUGGCAACUUAAGACCUUGUGUGAGCGAGCUGAAACAGGUAGUAGUAGCCACACUUUUACCUGGAGGGGCAGCGAAUAAGGCCAUGAAUUUGGCCAAGCAAUUAGGCUGCUGGGCCAAAGACGAACUGAACGCCACCUCCCAGGUGUUAGACAUGCUGUCUCAAGAUGUACAAAGUGUAAAUCAUGCAGUAUUGCAGAAUAGAGCAGCAAUCGAUUUCUUAUUAUUAGCUCAAGGCCAUGGUUGUGAAAAAUUUGAGAGUAUGUGUUGUAUGAAUUUAUCAGAUCAUUCUGUAUCAAUAUGCUAUAGAGAUAUUGUGUGAUAGUAUUGCUAAUGCUUGUAUUACCAUGCUUGCUUAAUUGCAUACAAAGAAUAGUGAGUCAGAUGAUGGAAAGGGCUUGGAAAACAACACUUCUAGCCCAAAAAGAAAACGGGGGAAAUGUUGAGAGCUUUGUAACAAGCUAGCUCCGAGCUAAAGCUCACAGUGAGAUUAAUUUGACCAAGAUAGAAAAUGAGGGAGUUGCUAUCCCAAUUAAACUGUGUCCUUGGCCCACGGAUGAAGUAAUGCACAGACACAGGUGGUGGAGCAAAUAGCCUGGGAAAGUGGAAUAGUUAUACCAAAAACAGCACGUAGUUAGCUGAUAGCUAGUUAGCCAAUGGUGAGCUGGGAUUUUGCACUAUGCGUGAGCUAAUUAAAGGGUGUAUAAUAAUCGGUGAUUCGGGAAUAAAGAUGAGACUUGUCGAUCAUCAUAUGGUGAGCAAGUCUUCCUUCUCCAUCAGUGCAAUGCACAGAAUUAGUGCAUAGAGGAUUUUCCCAUCUUUUUAAUGGGGUAAUCCAUCCAGACAAACCCGGCCAAGACAUGCAUGGUUUUACCUUUCAGGAACAAUACCAGGAAUGAUGCCAGCAUGAAUCCACUGAAAAUUAAGUUAACCAUUGAAGGACUGCUUAUCCUUUGUGCAAGAGUAAUCAGCAACAACAUGAAUCAAAUUUGGCAUACACAUCCAAAAGCUCAACCCAUCAGAUGGAGACCCUCGUUUCUUUUAUCUGCAAUGAAAUCACUAUGGAGAGGAUUAACAAAAAGGAUCACCAGCUAAUAGUGAAUGCUAGCUCUUAGUUGUAUCCAAGCUCAACUGUGGAUGCAAUCUAUGAUACCAACAAUUAUAAGAAAAGGUUGAGUGAAGAUUUAUUGCCUACUCCCAUGAGGAUGAAUCUUACAUUGAUGAAGAAACUACUACAACAUGAUGACCCAUGUCAACUGCUAGAACAUGUUCAAAACAAUGGACAAAAACUCUAAUCAUGGUUUAUCAUGAUUCUGAAGGGAUACACCAUGUUUUAGAAAGAGUGAAAAAGGAUGGAAAACACCUUGUUGGGAAACUCUUCUUGGAUGGUCACCAACAGCAACAGGAGUGUUUAAUCUUAUGCUUCAACCAGUUGUGAUUUUGUUGACUCCAACUUUAAUAUGUAUAUUGCUUAUAAUUAUAUUGUAUAUAAAGCUUUGGUACAUGAUAAAACAAAUAACACAUCUUCAACCACUCAAAACAUACAAAUCAAUGAGUAACAAAUAGCAGUGCUUCACUAUCUACUUACCAUAGAUCUAUCACCACACAAACCAUGUCGUUGUAUGGCGUCCCCGAACGGGUAAUAAUUAACAGUGACUCCAUGAUUCACAGAAGGCUGAUCAAACCAUCUUUAUUAAGAAACCCAUUGCUUUUAUAGACAGCUACAAUACAGGUGGAAUUGGUUGGUCCUUCAAUCAAAACCCAUCACCACUGGCUAAUUAAGAAACCACCCUUUGGUAAACAAAUCUUCAUAACACAUUCUACAUGUUCACAAUACCAGGUGCAGCAAGUUAAGAUAAGGUUUCUCAUUCUUUUCUCUGAUCUUCUCACAGACUUUCCCAGGAUGAUGCCUGGGAAAGUUGUGUGUUGCUCUCUGUGGCCAGAGAGCUGCUGCCACAACCAUCAAUAUACAAUUUAUGGCACAGAGGCAAGACCAUUCUGUGAGGGCAAGAUGAAUUAACUAUAGUCAUGGGGUGGAGUAUGACUGUUGGGAGGAAAGGGUUAAAAGUGGAAGAAUGGCAAGAAGGAUGGCAGAGGACAGUAGAUUCAAUCAAGUGACCUUGCAGCUGGGAAUGCCAAACCCUGGAGAAUAAUAGUGUAGGAAACCCCAUAUAUUAUGCCUACUGCUGUUUAUCCUAUGUCUGCUUUGAGAAGUAGAAUCUCUGUGUAGGGAUAACAUAGGUGUUUGGAGAGACUUGGAAACACUCUCAUGGACAUGCUUGAGCUCUGUCUUGGGAGAGAGAUCAAAGCACAGAGAUCACAGCAUGGUGGUAAACUAUAUAUGCACGGGCCCUUAAUAAAUGGGUGCAAACAGCAGUCCCCCCACCCACUAGCAUGGAAUGAGCCUAACAGUUGCCUGCAGUCCUGCUUGUGUGUCUCUUCCAGCUAACAAGGUAAUGAAAUAAAAUUACUUUUUGCAUAUGA